rnacentral:rRNA from 1 species
AUGGGUCCAGCAAAAGGUUCUCGCACAAUCCACAAGAUCACAAUAAAAAGACACGAGGAUCGACAGCAUCAUGAGGAUCCAACUAGUUCAAGCAAUGUGAAACUUAAAAUUUCUCAGAAGAGGAAGAGGUCAGACUUAGAUCCCCACUGGAACAGGGAUGAGCUGAUGCACUUUUAUGGAGCCUACCGGCGGCAUGGAAAGAAUUGGAAAAAGAUCAGUGCAGUAGUUGGCAGCAAAUCGGCAGACACUGUAGAAGCUCUUUACUAUGUGCAUCGGACUUUCUUAUCUCUUCCGGAGUGUGAAGGUACUGCCAGGGGAUUUAUUGCAUUGGCUGCUGGUCAUGACAAUGCUUUGGAAUCUCCAAGUCAAAGAGAAACUGAUCAGAUGGUUACAUCAUCUGGGAAGGGACGGAGACGUGGAGAAGCUGCGUGGCAAAAAGAGAAUGCAGCACCUAACCCUCACAACGCCUUCACAAAUCAGGAAAUGAGAAUUGCUGGCUUUACAUCUUCUUUCAAGAAAAGAUACCAUGGAGGCAAGUAUUGCAAGGCAAAUAUGCCAUGUCCUUUUGGUUCCCUUAAACGUAGUUUUGAUAGUUUCAUGUUCUUUUUAUUUUCAGAACUUGUCAGGUACAUCAGUAGACAUCCUGUUCGGAAACGUACUCCUCGUGUACCAGUUUUACUUCCUUUGGACAUCAAUUCUACAAACAAGGCUAAUGAAGAGAUAAAUAAUGAUGGAAGCUCUCCUGAUGGAAGUUCAGGAAUCACUGAAGCAAAGGUUGUUCAGGGCCAGACUUUCUUGGAAAUCAAAGGAACUGAAGAUACUGAGAUAUCUCAGUCCCAGCAACAUUUAAAUUUGAAGAAGAGAAGGAUUCAGCAAAGCAUGGACGAAGGCCAGACCAGCAAAGUUGAGCCUGGUACCACGAUGGUGGCUGAAAAAGAAGGGCAUAACUUAUCUGAUUAUGAGAGACUUAGUCGGUUAUUUUCUCCAGAGGAGAUGAUGGUCUUAGAUGUGUUGGAGAGUCUGGUGACUGUGCCCAAUGAAACGUCACAGGCCAAGAUUAAUAGUCCUUCAGGUACAUGUGGAAAGAUAAUUUCUGCAUCAUGUAACACACAGGAGGAAGGGCUUUCUCCUGUCGAUCAAUCUAAACAAACGAAGCAAGAUAGUGAUUCCAGUGCUUCAGAGGAAAGGAAAAAAAGGAGAAAGAAGUUACCAGAUGAAGAGGUGCUGGCUGAAGAACAAAUCAGUUCUGGUAAUACUUCAGUUAUACCACAAGCAUGUCAGCUUGAUGCCACGGAGCAGCCCUCCUUGAAUUCUGACUUUGAGAAAGAAGCAAUAGAUAUACCUGAAUCAACUGCAAAUAUUUGUGCUGAAGUAUCCCCUGAUGCACCGAUGGAAAUUGACCCUCAAAUAAAUAUGUCAAGGAAGAGCAAAAGAAAAUCCAAAGUACAAUGCAAAAAAAACUAUGUGUUUUGCAAUGAAGGUGCCGAUAAUUUACAGGCAAAGAAAUUGCUGCAUUGCUUGUCAUCUGAAUCACUUCGUAGAUGGUGUACAUACGAGUGGUUCUACAGCGCAGUUGAUUAUCCAUGGUUUAUGAAUAAUGAAUUUGUGAACUACUUAAAUUUUGCAAAAUUGAGCCAUCUUUCAAGGCUCACUCGAUCUGAGUGGAGCACAAUCCGAAGUUCUCUCGGCAAGCCCCGUCGCUUUUCCAAUCAUUUCCUGGCAGUAGAAAAGGAAAAACUUGAGGAUUAUCGACAAAACGUUAGGAAAUACUAUGCUGAACUAAGUGAUGGCUUGCGGGAUUCUCUACCAACAGACCUUGCUCGGCCUUUUUCAGUUGGCCAGCAUGUCAUUGUUCGUCACCCGAGUACCAGAGAACUUGCUGAUGGUAAAGUGGUAAUCAUGGAGCGGGAUUGUUACAAGGUCCAGUUUGAUAGCCCUGAUCUAGGUGUUGAUAUAAUUAAGGACACUGAUUGUAUGCCUGUAAACUGGUUGGAUAAUCUGCCUGACGAUCUCAAGAAGAGGAGCUCCCUCUCAAAUAAUGCACACCGCAAACCGGAUUUUGAGCACAUUCCGGAGCUUACUUCAAAGGAGAGCUGGGGUAAUAUCAUGAAUGACAUUUCCGUACCUGAGUCGUCCAGUAGUCGACAGGCUUCAUCUUCUGUGGGCGGUGAACUGCUACCCAGCAAGAGUACCACCAUUUGUAGAUCUACACUGCCACCAUUCCACCCACUCCAGUCCGCCGCCGACAGUUUACAAUCAAGGGGUCGCUCAAACAACAACAGUGGUCAGAGUGAUGAACUGGAUUCUCAUGUUACUGCAUUUGUCCAGAAAUCGCUUAAACAAGCCAAACAGAUGGUUGGUGAAGUCAUGCAGGCAAGCUAUGGAAAUGGUAAUGAAUCUGGGGAAGAAGCAACACCAUGUAUAAGCCUGGAAUCUGAGUCUACUCUUGAUGAUGCCCAGCUUCCAUCCACCCUGAUAGAGAACUGUGUUGCUACAGUUAUUGCAAUCAAGGAGCUGAGCGAGCAUCGGCACCCGCCUGCCAAGAUAGCAGGUGUGCUGGAGCGUGCUUUUUCGAUGCUGCGCCCAAGCUGUCCAGAGAACCUCGCGAUCUACAGCGAGAUAGAGAGCUACAUCGCCGUCGUCAAGAGCCAGAUACUAGCACUUGUGCCAACAACAUCUGGCAAUGCAGCUCUGGCAAUGUAG